rnacentral:rRNA from 1 species
UACGGGGGGAGCAAGCGUUGUUCGGAUUUACUGGGCGUAAAGGGCGCGUAGGCGGUCAGCACAAGUCAGUUGUGAAAUCUCCGAGCUUAACUCGGAAAGGUCAACUGAUACUGUGCGACUAGAGUGCAGAAGGGGCAACUGGAAUUCUCGGUGUAGCGGUGAAAUGCGUAGAUAUAGGAAGGAACACCAGUGGCGAAGGCGACCACCUGGACUGAUACUGACACUGAGGUGCGAAAGCGUGGGGAGCAAACAGG